rnacentral:lncRNA from 1 species
UUUCUAUUUUCUAUUAUUUUUUUUAUUUCUCGUGUUUUUUUUUCAGAAAAUUCAUUCCGUAAUGUUGUUCAGUAUUUUUAAGUUAUUGUGUAAGAGAUGUAAACCUUAAUGUUUUGUUUCGCUUUUGCACCGAUUUCCGGGGUCGUUAUAGUUGGUAUCAGAGUCUCGUUCCUCGGACCCGUUCUUUACACAAUGAUACUUAGAGAAAGACCAAACCAAUGAAUUAUC